rnacentral:rRNA from 1 species
AUUGAACGCUGGCGGCAUGCUUUACACAUGCAAGUCGAACGGCAGCGCGGGCUUCGGCCUGGCGGCGAGUGGCGAACGGGUGAGUAAUACAUCGGAACGUGCCCAGUCGUGGGGGAUAGCUCGGCGAAAGCCGGAUUAAUACCGCAUACGACCUGAGGGUGAAAGCGGGGGAUCUUCGGACCUCGCGCUAUUGGAGCGGCCGAUGGCAGAUUAGCUAGUUGGUGGGGUAAAGGCCUACCAAGGCGACGAUCUGUAGCUGGUCUGAGAGGACGACCAGCCACACUGGGACUGAGACACGGCCCAGACUCCUACGGGAGGCAGCAGUAGGGAAUUUUGGACAAUGGGCGAAAGCCUGAUCCAGCAAUGCCGCGUGUGUGAUGAAGGCCUUCGGGUUGUAAAGCACUUUUGGCGGGAACGAAAAGGACUGUGCCAAUACCACGGUUCGAUGACGGUACCCGCAGAAUAAGCACCGGCUAACUACGUG